rnacentral:lncRNA from 1 species
CAGCGCCUAUUAUUAUAUCAGCUUCGUGAUAGUAGUUGAUAAUAAUAAUUAUUAAUAGCAGGACAGCAGUUCACUGUUUUUUUUUUUUGUUUUGUUUUUUAAAAGAACCACUGAUUUCGUUAAUAAUAUGUGUGUUAAAUUAUUUAUUAGUAAAGUAGUAUAGAAAAUUAAAUUUUCUAAAGUAUUACUAUAGAUGGAUUAAUCCUUUGGUCAUUACUCAUUACAUAAUCAUUCGCUCCUCUUCCGCACGAGAAAGAGGAAGUACCUAGUGGGAUCAAAAAUACAUAUUAUUAUUUGUUAUUCAAUGUAGAAAGGAUGACGAUCAGUCGAUGUUGUAGAAAGCAUAAGCAAAAAGGAGGAACCGCACGUUUCCAAGUCUAUUUCUGGAUCAUUAAAUAUAAUAAUCUCAGUAUAAAGAAGUAUUGCCGCACGAAUUCAAAAUAGUAUUUCAUUGUCUGUGUAGGAAACUGCAUUGCUUAGAAUAGGUAUAUAAAAAUAUACUAAUACAAGAGUACUAGUACUCAUCGACGCAUCCUUGCGUGAAGAGAGGUCUAAUCCCAUUUGUGAAUCAUCUCACUUUUCUUUGCAUUCCAAUAUUAUGUUUUUUUAGUAAGCAGGUCACCAUUCCAAUGCAUACACCUACUCUUUUAUGCCUACUUCUAUAUUUGGAAAAACAAUUUCGAAUCCACGUUCAAUAUGAUUCAAAAGGAGAGUAAUUUUUAUAAGGUCCUAAUAUAUGAUAACAUUUUUACGUAUAUUAAAAUAUAAUAAUGUAUAUAUUUCAUAAUAAUAUAUGGGGGAUUGUUGAUGAAUUAAUUUAUCAUAUUUAUAUCACUUGGUACAUCAAAUUAACUAAAUUUAGACCUUAACAGAAUAAAAUAAAUAAUUAUAAUUAAUAAUAACUUAAUGAAUCACAAAAGUUGGGUAAAAUAAAGUGAGUGCACGGAAUCACAAUUUAGGGACCGAUCCCAUAAGUAAGUGCUUGAAUCCUUUUGGUAUUACAUGCCUUACAAAAAGUUCUGCCAUCAAGGGGGUAGCAUCCAUGUCCGGAUGCUUCUCUGGACAAUAGUAAUCCACAGUCCUCGCAUCGGUAGCAAUCUACAUGAAAACUUCGAUCCAAGGCCACAACACGAACGGUUUCUUCUUGCCCUUCUUCAGGCAUAAUAGGUUUUUUACAAACAGAACACCUUGGAGCAAACCUUUUAUGAAAGUCCUGAAUGCAAUGAAUUUGAUUCGUUGCAUCAACAGUGAAAGGAAUGCCGUCCAAGGAGUGUCCACAUACAACACAAGUGAAGCAUUGUGGAUGAUAUGGCUUCCCCGUGGCCCUCAAUAUUCUAUCCAUAAUAGGUUGUAAGCAUUUAGCACACUUUUCUAGUGUAUUUAAAUAAUCAUUUUCACAAAGGGGUUUCCCGUCAAGUGCAUAAAAAGGUUUCCCUUGCAAUGAAAUGGUACAAACAAAGCAUGUAAAACAAUGUAAGUGAUAAAUCCUUCCCAUAGCAGAGCAGCCACUCCCUUCUCCAACAAUCAUUCCACCACAUUUGUUACAAUUUCCAAAAUAUUCUCCUCCUGUAGUACCAGGAAGUAAAUGAUCAUAGAGGGAAGAAUAGUCCGGUUCAAAGGAUCGUAUGGCCUGUCUUAAUUCAGAGUAACUCGAAGAAACAGGGGAUGGAGGUGGAUCUUCGGGUUGAUAUUCUUCUUGAAAGGGAGGUGGGGGAGCAGAUGUUUUGAUGAGUUGAGCUGGUACACCCACAGGAGCCCUGUAGGUUAAGAAUAUUAAAGAUCCUCGUUACGUAUGUCAUGGUUUCAUAUUUUUCCUUUAUAAAUAAAAUAAAUAAUACCGGAUAUAAUUUCCACGAGAAUUGUUGCUAUAUUGAUUGGAGAGGUAUUGGAGAAUUCUGGCGUAGGAUGGGGUUUGAUAUUUAACAUCUGUACUUUGUGGAACAACUGGAGGAAUAUCUUCACGUCUUUCCUCGCUUUCGGAAACAUUGCUUCCAUUUCUUUGUUGAAUCCCCGAUAAUGCACCCUUCAUCUUUUCUUUUCUCCAAGACAAUAUAUUCACCUACUAUAGAACAAGAAGGAACGACCACCAAAACCGGGCGAGGGAUUUGCAGUUUUUAAUGUCAUUACAUUACAUUAUUAUUUUUACUUCUUUUCUUUUUUGAUAUUAUUCCUUGUGUAUGAAUAAAUU